rnacentral:rRNA from 1 species
GGCAACCCUGACGGAGCAAGACCGCGUGGGGGAUGACGGCCUAAUGGUUGUAAACCCCUUUUCUCUGGGAAGAUGAUGACGGUACCAGAGGAAUCAGCCUCGGCUAACUCCGUGCCAGCAGCCGCGGUAAUACGGAGGAGGCAAGCGUUAUCCGGAAUUAUUGGGCGUAAAGCGUCCGUAGGUGGUUAUUCUAGUCUGCUGUCAAAGCGUGGGGCUUAACUCCAUAGAGGCAGUGGAAACUGGAUGACUUGAGUGCGGUAGGGGUCGAGGGAAUUCCCAGCGUAGCGGUGAAAUGCGUAGAUAUUGGGAAGAACACCAGUGGCGAAAGCGCUCGACUGGGCCUGCACUGACACUGAGGGACGAAAGCUAGGGGAGCG